UACGUAGGCAGCAAGCGUUGUUCGGAAUUACUGGGCGUAAAGAGUGUGUAGGCGGUGCUCCAAGUCUGGUGUGAAAUCUCCCGGCUUAACUGGGAGGGUGCAUUAGAAACUGGAAUGCUAGAGGAUGGGAGAGGUAAGCGGAAUUCCUGGUGUAGCGGUGAAAUGCGCAGAUAUCAGGAGGAACACCUGUGGUGUAGACAGCUUACUGGACCAUUUCUGACGCUGAGACACGAAAGCGUGGGUAGCAAACAGG
rnacentral:rRNA from 1 species